UCUCGUAGGAAGAGGUACGGUCGGUCGCUCCGUCGUCGCCGCUCUGCGUCAGUUGAUCCCUGGCUGUCGUCGGGAUCGGACGCACCGUCGCCGCGGCGGGAAAGGCAAACAUUAGCACCAUGAAUAGUAUGUCUCCACUGGAUACAACAACACGUUCACUAAUCACACCAUCAAAAAGUCCUGGGAAUGAAUUUGUGACAGCAGCGCCCGGUGAGUGGGCGACCCUCUCUUGUGUGGGUGUGCUGUUUUCUUGGUGCUCCUGAAAAACUGCAUAAAAUUGAACCUACUACAGCCACAGGGAACCACAGGCUACAGAAUUGGAUAUUAUUAUUUUUUGGCUCACCAUAUACAAGUCAAGGAAGGUAUGGUUGCCACUUCUGGUUGCUCUUCAGAUGCAUGGCGAUUGCCCUCAACACUUUCAGUGUUGUCUUCAUCGACACUGUAAUAGGUUUAUGGUGCAACACAAGCCGUGCGCUUUGAAUUUUACUCCUGCAUCAAAAAUAAGAGCUCGCCAGGAGACACAAGCAGGUGCACUGGUGGAUUACUUUCUUCAAUAAAUCUUGUUGGAGACAGGUCAUCGACAGUAGUCUCGUCAAUGUCGUUUUGAUCCUGAGAAAACGAAGAACAGUAAUGUAUGAGAUGAUAAGUAUGUAGAAGUAUUUGUAAUGAAGACACUCUGAGCAAAUACAUACCAGGAUAGGCUCAGAAUCCUUCAAAGGAGAGGUGCUGAUGUCCUGUACUUCGUGUUUGACGUUUGACUCCUCUAAGAAAAAUACAAAACUCGAAUGAGACAAUGGAAGGUUCACUAUUUUUAUUCUGUGAAAAUUCCACUUCAAAUUUGAUCAAUUGUUUUCCUGUGCGUGUAAGCUCCCAAAUGUGCACGCAGCACCACUCACGCUACACCCCGCUCGCUUCUUCCUGUUGUUUUCUGUGCUUCGUAGACUUCGGAACAGAGACUUGGGUGUUCAGGAAGAGGUAUUGCCUGUACUGUCCUCGUUUCC